rnacentral:rRNA from 1 species
UACGAAGGUGGCAAGCGUUGUUCGGAUUUACUGGGCGUACAGGGAGCGUAGGCGGUUGGGUAAGCACUCCGUGAAAUCUCCGGGCCUAACCCGGAAAGUGCGGAGGGGACUGCUCGGCUAGAGGAUGGGAGAGGAGCGCGGAAUUCCCGGUGUAGCGGUGAAAUGCGUAGAUAUCGGGAGGAAGGCCGGUGGCGAAGGCGGCGCUCUGGAACAUUGCUGACGAUGAGGCUCGAAAGAGUGGGGAGCAAACAGG